rnacentral:rRNA from 1 species
UGGGGAAUAUUGCACAAUGGGCGAAAGCCUGAUGCAGCAACGCCGCGUGAGUGAUGAAGGUCUUCGGAUUGUAAAGCUCUGUCUUUUGGGACGAUAAUGACGGUACCAAAGGAGGAAGCCACGGCUAACUACGUGCCAGCAGCCGCGGUAAUACGUAGGUGGCGAGCGUUGUCCGGAUUUACUGGGCGUAAAGGGUGCGUAGGCGGAUGUUUAAGUGAGAUGUGAAAUACCCGGGCUUAACUUGGGUGCUGCAUUUCAAACUGGAUAUCUAGAGUGCAGGAGAGGAGAAUGGAAUUCCUAGUGUAGCGGUGAAAUGCGUAGAGAUUAGGAAGAACACCAGUGGCGAAGGCGAUUCUCUGGACUGUAACUGACGCUGAGGCACGAAAGCGUGGGUAGCAAACAGGAUUAGAUACCCUGGUAGUCCACGCCGUAAACGAUGAGUACUAGGUGUAGGAGGUAUCGACCCCUUCUGUGCCGCAGUAAACACAUUAAGUACUCCGCCUGGGGAAG